rnacentral:rRNA from 1 species
UACAGAGGGCUCAAGCGUUGUUCGGAUUCAUUGGGCGUAAAGGGUGCGUAGGCGGCGCGGCAAGUCGGGUGUGAAAUCUUGGAGCUUAACUCCGAAACUGCAUUCGAUACUGACGUGCUUGAGGACUGGAGAGGAGACUGGAAUUUACGGUGUAGCAGUGAAAUGCGUAGAGAUGCGGAGGAACACCGAUGGCGAAGGCAGCCCCCUGGGCUGACACUGACGCUCAGGCACGAAAGCGUGGGGAGCAAACAGG